UAAAAAUGAUUGGUUACUACAUUGUGAUCUCUGCUAUAAUGACAAAAAUGACACAGGUAUUAUACUCAGUCAAAAAAAUUUUUUAAUGGAAUAUUUUUACGUUGUUACACUCAUUCAAACCCUGCUUGUGCUCGUUUCCACCAUGAGGCAGUUUUGUUGCAUUCACACUUUAAAUGCAGAUCUUCAGACUUACACAGUACGAAGUAAUGCAACAUUGCAUUCGUGUUGGAUUUUGAGCUUUUAAUAUAUCAGUACUAAAACAGUAGGUGAAAUAAUUAACUCACGCAUUAUACAUUUGAUUUAUUUAUUUUUUUAAAGUGCUGUGCUGACCCCUUAAUGCUGCCCCACUUUAGUGCGGAAAUCCUUCUUUUUUAUAGCAUGUAUCACCUUAACAUGCUACCUUUGAUAAUUAACGUCUCAUUGGGAUCAUAGUUUAAAAUUCUGUAUUUUUAUUAGAGGAAAAAAGUAUUAAUUGACAUUAAUGAGGCUGAAGGUCGAUGUUGAUUUCUUGCCUAGGCUGCCCUUGCUCAUUGCUGCCUUUUUGAAAACGGCCCUGAUCCAGGACAAUAUGUCUGGUUGUUGAAGGGCUGCCAGAAGUAGUUGUUAGUUACAGUUAGGGCGCGUCCCUCUUAGGAUAGGUUGUCCACUCUGAGGUCUGAUAUCGAAUGGUCCAUAAUUUCCAGCUUGUUCCCAGGAGAAGCUCUCCUUUGCUCUUUUCUCUCUGUGUCUCUCUUCCUCCUCUCCUUUCAGAAUCCUGUGAGAAACAGCAAGAGAUGUGGAUCGAAGCGGGAAGAGCUUCCGAACCUCACCGGACAUUUAGCGUCUUUGCUCUGGUAACUGGCAGUGAGACAGAGUUUUGAGCUCCAAGCGCAAACAGUUUUGGCCAGAGAGAGAAAUUAUGCAAACACACACUGGCGAUUAAGUAACAGAUUUUCCCUCUUGGGUUUUUCCACAUGGAGACUACCUGACAUGCUGCUGAAACCAUGAUGGAGGGAGGAGGUUAUAGGCCAGUGGGCCCUUCCAGCCCCUUUUCUCGAUGCAUGUUAUAUAGCAGGUGAGAAACAUUAACGGAGGCAGCAGCAGCUGCAGACCUCUGCUCCACACAUGUGGGCCAGGAUAUGAGCUAGCUUGAGCUCUCCCACUCUCAACUUUAGUGAGCAAGGUUAUCGCUCAGAACCACAGGAAACAGUGCUGCCAAACUGGAAACAGCAUAGCUCUGUUUAAUUUGUUUCAAUACGUUACUUUGAACACUGAUCUUAAUAGUAUAUAGGUUUGCCAGAACUUGAUCUAAAAUGAUUCUAUUUGCUUAUUUGUCAUGUGACUGGCCACACCCACCCUAGCUUCUAAAAGCUAUGUGAUAUUUGUGAAUAUAAUAAUGUUUCAGAGUGUUUUUGAGGUUAGCGUGUUUGCUAUACAAUGUUCAUUAUGAAUAUACCAUUUAAGUUAUUUACUGGUUGCAUUUGAAUAUGGAAAUGUCUUGGCUGCGCAAUUUGCUUGUUGGGUCAUUUGAAUUACCCCCCUCAGCCCGGGCAAUGAACCCGGAGACCCAGUUGUCACAUUGUGUUUUGAGCUCACAGACUCUGGCCGCGGUGGUGAGGUGUCCCAGAGGGGAGUGGCAUGUUUCUGUGAAUCAUAACCGCUGUUCUGUGUUCAGUGAGCCGUGUCAAAGCGGAUUACCUGCAUGAACGGGGACCUGAAAGGACUUUGUUUUUAAAGACUGUCCUUUGGGGUGAGGUAGUAGGUUGUAUAGUUUUAGGGUCGUACCCUUCCUGUCAGAUAACUAUACAACUUACUGUCUUUCCUGAAGUGGCUGUAAUGUCGUCAGAUGCCUUUGGUGGAGUGCACGGAACCAGAUCGACGCACUACUUGCUAACGGCUCAGUAGCCCGAGUUUGAUAGCAGAAAGUUAUUAAGGACUGUAGCCGCUUUGUGCAAGUCGUUGAUUGCCAAUAAAGUACAACUGUGUUUUCAUUGUAAGUGUUCAUUCUUUUUGUGUAAAACACAACAACAGCAAAAAUGUCCUCCUCAUAUCUCAGCAGACACUUUGCGCUGCAUAAUAGUUUCCAAAGUUUCCUCCUGUUUAGCCGCCAGUCUCUUUGUUUAUUUUCUUUGCACUUGUAAAAAUCUAAAAGAAAUCAUCAAAUAUUUGGGGGGUUUUAGUAAUUAAAACUCGACAAAAAUCUCAGUGUUUGCUUUUCAUGUAGGUAUGGUUUUUGUCAAAUUCUGUAUAUUCAUUUACAGAUUGUAUAUGUCAUCAUAACACUUUUAUCAUUACCAAAGAUUUUAUCCAGCCUGUAGGGCCUUUACUGAUGUUCGUACGGGGUGAGGUAGUAGGUUGUGUGGUUUCAGGGUAGUGAUUUUGCCCAAUCAGGAGAUAACUAUACAACCUACUGCCUUCCCUGAAGGGCAGCAAUACUUCACCAUUCACACACAUCAGGAAGCAUUUUGUUCAUAUCAUUAAAAAAAAAAACUCCAUAUUGACAAACUAAACCACAUGAAUCAUCUGACUCUAAGAAAUUUCAUACAAAGAUGUCAAAUCAGACGAUAGCAGCGGAAGGAUCCAGCAGGUAAAGUCUGUGCAGUAAGGAAAAUGUCUUUGACUUAGAUUUUUUUUCUUUUUUUGCUUCAAAAUUAAUAAUAAAAAAUAAGGUGAUUGA